rnacentral:rRNA from 1 species
UACGUAGGUGGCAAGCGUUGUUCGGAAUCACUGGGCAUAAAGGGCGCGUAGGUGGUCUGCCAAGUCGGGGUUGAAAUCUUUCGGCUCAACCGGAAAAGUGGCUUCGAUACUGGCAGGCUGGAGGGAGUUAGGGGCGGAUGGAACUUCCGGUGGAGCGGUGAAAUGUGUUGAUAUCGGAAGGAACGCCGGUGGCGAAAGCGAUCCGCUGGACCUCUUCUGACACUGAGGCACGAAAGCGUGGGGAGCAAACAGG